rnacentral:rRNA from 1 species
UACGAAGGGGGCUAGCGUUGCUCGGAAUCACUGGGCGUAAAGCGCACGUAGGCGGAUCUUUAAGUCAGGGGUGAAAUCCUAGAGCUCAACUCCAGAACUGCCUUUGAUACUGAGGAUCUUGAGUUCGGGAGAGGUGAGUGGAACUGCGAGUGUAGAGGUGAAAAUUCGUAGAUAUUCGCAAGAACACCAGUGGCGAAGGCGGCUCACUGGCCCGAUACUGACGCUGAGGCACGAAAGCGUGGGGAGCAAACAGG